CACGUAGGAGGCAAACGUUAUCCGGAUUUACUGGGCGUAAAGCGCAUGUAGGUGGUUCUGUAAGUAGGGCGUGAAAGCUCCCGGCUCAACUGGGAGAGGCCGUUCUAAACUACAGAGCUAGAGGAUGGUAGAGGGAGGUGGAAUUCCGGGUGUAGCGGUGGAAUGCGCAGAUAUCCGGAGGAACACCAGUGGCGAAAGCGGCCUCCUGGUCCAUUCCUGACACUCAGAUGCGAAAGCUAGGGUAGCAAACGGGAUUAGAGACCCCGGUAGUCCUAGCCCUAAACGAUGUUUACUUGGUGUCGGUGGCCUAAUCGCCAUCGGUAUCGAAGCUAACGCGAUAAGUAAACCGCCUGGGGACUACGGCCGCAAGGUUAAAACUCAAAGGAAUUGACGGGUCCCCGCACAAGCAGCGGAGCGUGUGGUUUAAUUCGUUGCUACGCGAAGAACCUUACCUGGGUUUGACAUAGCAGUGGUAGGGAAACGAAAGUGGACCGACCCUUCGGGGAGCUGUUACAGGUGUUGCAUGGCU
rnacentral:rRNA from 1 species